GAUGAAGAACGUAGUGAAAUGCGAUACUUGGUGUGAAUUGCAGAAUCCCGUGAACCAUCGAGUCUUUGAACGCAAGUUGCGCCCGAAGCCAUUAGGCCGAGGGCACGCCUGCCUGGGCGUCACACGUCGUUGCCCCCCCAUCUACUCCUUCGGGAUUGCGAGGGGCGGAUGAUGGCCUCCCGUGCGCCUCGUCGCGCGGUUGGCAUAAAUGCCAAGUCCUCGGCGACGCACGCCACGACAAUCGGUGGUUGCGAAACCUCGGUUGCCCGUCGUGUGCGGUCGUCGCGCAUCGAGGGCUCGAAAAAAUUGUCGGGCUCCGGCUCGGCUUUCAACGCGACCCCAGGUCAGGCGGGGUUACCCGCUGAAUUUAAGCAUAUCAAUAAGCGGAGGA
rnacentral:misc_RNA from 1 species